rnacentral:lncRNA from 1 species
CGGGCAGCCACGGCGGGGUUUUCUCCCCCUGGCACCGGGAGGGAGGGGAGCUGGAGGAGGAUGCCAGAGCAGCUGAGUUCUCCCAUCCCUGAGCACAAGCGCUACGGAGGCUUAGCCAUCUCCCGCGAGCCUGGCACGAUGUCAGGAAAGGAUUAAAACACUCAUCUGGCUGGGGACCUGAUUUAUCUACUGGACUGACAGCACAGCUGCACAGUGGAGGAAAUGGUCCUGCAGAGUCCUGGGGCUGCUGUUGCCCAAACACAGCUUUGGCAAGAGGGCAGCUGCUAAGCUGGGCUUAAGCUGCUCUAGAAGCAACAGAAUAAAGAUUGUUUUGGACUGAGUGUCA